rnacentral:rRNA from 1 species
UACGGAGGGUGCAAGCGUUAUCCGGAUUUACUGGGUUUAAAGGGUGCGUAGGUGGGUAGGUAAGUCAGUGGUGAAAUCUUCGAGCUUAACUCGGAAACUGCCAUUGAUACUAUCUGUCUUGAAUACUUUGGAGGUAAGCGGAAUAUGUCAUGUAGCGGUGAAAUGCUUAGAUAUGACAUAGAACACCAAUUGCGAAGGCAGCUUACUACACAGUCAUUGACACUGAGGCACGAAAGCGUGGGGAGCAAACAGG